rnacentral:rRNA from 1 species
UACGGAAGGCAGCAGUGGGGAAUAUUGCACAAUGGGCGCAAGCCUGAUGCAGCCAUGCCGCGUGUAUGAAGAAGGCCUUCGGGUUGUAAAGUACUUUCAGUCGUGAGGAAGGUGUUAAGGUUAAUAACCUUAGCAAUUGACGUUAGCGACAGAAGAAGCACCGGCUAACUCCGUGCCAGCAGCCGCGGUAAUACGGAGGGUGCGAGCGUUAAUCGGAAUUACUGGGCGUAAAGGGCACGCAGGCGGUUAAUUAAGUUGGAUGUGAAAUCCCCGGGCUUAACCUGAGAAUGGCAUUCAAGACUGGUUAGCUAGAGUCUUGUAGAGGGGGUAGAAUUCCAUGUGUAGCGGUGAAAUGCGUAGAGAUGUGGAGGAAUACCGGUGGCGAAGGCGGCCCCUGGGACAAAGACUGACGCUCAUGUGCGAAAGCGUGGGGAGCAAACAGGGAUUAGAUACC